GAGCUCAGUGGGAGGCUCAGGAGGGUUUAGUAGGAGGCACCCAGUAGAAGACCCUGAACCGUUUAUCUUCUUUCAGGUGGUGGAUCUUACUGGUAGGUCAGUGGAUGGCCAGUGACAGGCCUAUACCUUCUCCCACAUAUUGCCAUGACUGCCGUCCAGGCCAGAUACAGAGACAAGGAGCAAGCAAUCCAGCGUGUCCACGGUCCACUCCAUGGAAAGAAUAUAUCUCUCUACCUCGCUGAUAUUGGAUGUGACCUUGGAACGUGUUUUGACCGGUCCAAGGUGAAGGCCAGGACACAAGCCAAGCCUGAGCCCAAACCUACCGAGGUCUUGGAAGUUUCUAUCAUUUCCCUCUGUUGUGAGGACAUCAUUUCCCAGGAUUGGCUGUACGUGAGUGCGGAUUCCAGAAGGAAGUCAUACAGAGGCAGGCCCAUAACUGACCCGCAGCAUUGGACAAAACUCCCACAAGUGAAAAAUAAAUAUUUGUCCUUACAAGCCUGAAAUGUUGUGGCUACUGUAUCUGAUACCCUGGCACCAACCAAUACCGCUGGGCGAUAUAAGAGGAGGGGGAGGGGAGAGAAGACAGAAUUUUGGGAAAUGACAUGGUGGUGAAGCUAUGGGAAGAUACAGUAAUCACACUCGGAGUAUGAGUGUGCUUGUGAGACUAGCUUUAACGCACCUACUGGUGUCUGUUUUCCAGCAGAUGUAGUGGCUUGCCCUUGUGUUGGUUAAACAAAGGAAGAGAGAACUGGAGAGAAAUUACAUGGAGGAAAUGGCUGUUUAAAAAGACAAGGCUGGGGCCAAGCCAACCGUCUAUGCUGCAGCUGCAGGCAUAAAGUUUUGGGAGAAAGAUCUGUCUGGUGGCCCUGGGCUGACAGACGUGACUGGGGCUACAGUUUUGCAGAGAAUACUGUUAGUAUUAGGGGGAAGGGCGGAUGGCAAAGACAGCAAAAGAGGGACUCACUUCUGGGAAAUAUGGCUGGAUUCCACAAAUUCAGAUGUAAUCAAUAGAGUAGAGAGUUUUGAUAGUCAAUAAAGUCUCAAACAAAAAGAAUAAGUGUGAACCC
rnacentral:lncRNA from 1 species